rnacentral:lncRNA from 1 species
UCGACACAGUUUGUGAAAAAAGGUGAAGAAGCUUUGAUUUAUUAUGAGUUGAAGAAGAAAAGUUUGUUCAAUAUGGUUCAAGGAAAAGUUGGCUUGAAAAUUUACUAUGUUGAUGAAGAAAUUCCUCCUCCUCCACCACCGGUACCUGUGCCGGAAAAUCCACCGGCACCAUCGUCUGAGCCACCAUCCGGAAAAGUAGAAGAAUCGCCUCCACCGCCAUCUGAGCUGGAAAAAGUUGAACCACCACCGUCUGAUCAACCGUCCGGAGCACCACCUCCGCCAUCCGAAGCUGGGCCCCAACCUAAGGCUGAAGGUGAACAAGAACCUAAGGUUGAACCGGAACCUGUUCCUGAACAGAUUCCGGUUCAAGAAGAAGUUGUAGAUCCGAUGGAUGCAAACCCACCAGAAGCAUUUGAAAUGGCAGCUGCAUCAAUUUCAAGGUCAAAUUCAGAAGUUAGAUUCAGCGGAAUCAACGGUCCACAUCCACAGCCAAUAAGAAGAUCGGCAUCAACGGCUAGUUUUACAUCAGAAGCUUCGAUGGACAGCAUGUUGAUCGAACGGUCCACGUUUGAUCUCGUUGAAAAGAUGCACUAUCUUUUCAUACGCGUGGUGAAAGCGCGUUACCUACCAACAAACGGUAACCCAAUAGUGAAGAUUUCGGUUUCGGGUCAUGAUGUUAAUUCCAAACCCGCACGCAAAACGACAACGUUUGAAUGGAACCAAACAUUCGCUUUUGCACGUGACACACAUGAUUCUUCUCCUAUUCUUGAAAUCACUGUGUGGGACCCACAAACAAUAGAAGAAAAUCGUAGUUUGCUUGGUGGUGUUUGUUUUGAUGUCAAUGAGAUUCCGGUGAGGGACCCACCAGAUAGUUCACUUGCACCACAAUGGUAUAGAAUGGAAGGUGGUGGGGCCCAACAUGGUGACUUAAUGAUCGCCACGUGGAUUGGUACUCAAGCGGACGAAUCAUUUGCCGACGCGUGGAAAAGUGAUACUACUAAUCAUGUCAAUUCAAAAGCUAAAGUGUAUCAAUCACCUAAGCUUUGGUAUCUUCGUGUAACUAUUCUUGAAGCUCAAGAUAUAACGCCGUUGACGCCAACGUUAAAAGAAUCGUGGUUUCAUUUUCAAAUUCGAGCUCAAAUUGGAUUUCAAGUGUUAAAAACGAAAACAACGGUUACUAAAAACGGUAUUGUUUCGUGGAACGAAGAUCUUCUCUUUGUUGCAGCUGAGCCAUUAACCGUAAGUGAUUUUAUCGUCUUUAGUUUGGAAAACCGGCAACAUAAAGCGCCGGUUACAAUGGGUGUUGUGAAAAUACCUUUAACAGCCGUUGAAAGAAGAGUUGAUGACCGGAAUGUGGGGUCACGUUGGUUCACAUUUGAUGAUCCAAACGAUGAAAAAAGAAGUGGUUAUAAAGGAAGAUUACAUUUACGAUUAUGCUUUGACGGAGGGUAUCACGUGAUGGAUGAAGCCGCUCACGUGACUAGUGAUUAUCGACCAACAGCAAGACAACUUUGGAAACCACCAGUUGGAACGAUCGAACUUGGUAUCAUUGGUUGCAAGAAUUUAAUACCGAUGAAAACGGUAAAUGGUAAAAGUUCCACUGAUGGUUAUUGUGUUGCGAAGUACGGUAACAAAUGGGUGCGAACGAGAACAGUUUCAGAUAAUUUGGAACCAAAGUGGAAUGAACAAUACACAUGGAAAGUAUUUGAUCCUUCGACUGUUUUAACUAUUGGAGUAUUCGAUAGUUUUUCAGUUUUCGAAUCAGAUAAUUCGAAAACUGAAAUGACUAACGAAUCAACAAGGCCUGAUUUUCGUAUUGGUAAAGUACGAAUACGUAUUUCUACACUUCAAACAGGCCGUGUGUAUAAAAAUACUUAUCCACUUUUGGUUCUAACACAUGGUGGUUUGAAAAAGAUGGGUGAGAUUGAGAUAGCGAUUAGAUUUGUUCGGACAGUUCAACGGUUAGAUUUCCUCCACGUGUACUCUCAACCGAUGUUGCCGUUGAUGCAUCAUAUAAAACCUUUGGGUGUGGUUCAUCAAGAGGUGUUAAGAAAUACGGCAGUGAAGAUGGUGGCAGGGCAUCUUUCGAGAUCAGAACCGCCGUUGAGGAAAGAGGUUGUGUUCUAUAUGCUCGAUGCUGAUUCACACAAUUUUAGUAUAAGAAAGGUUCGUGCAAAUUGGUGUAGGAUAAUUAAUGUGGUUGCAGGUUUGAUUGAGAUCGUGCGGUGGAUAGAGGAUACACGCGGAUGGAAGAAUCCAACAGCUACAAUUCUUGUUCAUGCUUUACUUGUUAUGUUGGUUUGGUUCCCCGAUUUGAUUAUUCCCACUUUGGCAUUUUAUGUGUUUGCUGUUGGCGCAUGGAACUAUAGGUUUCGUGCGCGUGAUCCUCUUCCGCAUUUUGAUCCAAAGAUUUCGCUUGCUGAUGUGGUGGAUAGGGAGGAGUUGGAUGAGGAAUUUGACAUAGUGCCGAGUACACGAUCCUAUGAAGCAGUGCGUGCAAGGUAUGAUAAGUUACGCACACUCGGGGCACGUGUGCAGACAGUAUUAGGGGACUUAGCGACGCAAGGGGAGCGCGUGCAGGCAUUGGUUACCUGGCGCGAUCCUUGCGCAACUGGAAUUUUUGUUUUCUUGUGUUUGGUUGUGGCGAUGAUAUUGUAUUUGGUGCCUUCGAAGAUGGUGGCUAUGGCUUGUGGAUUCUAUUAUCUCCGCCAUCCUAUCUUCCGCGACCGGUUGCCAUCACCAGGGUUGAAUUUCUUUAGAAGACUUCCGUCAUUGUCGGAUCGAAUUAUGUAGAUUUGGUUUUCAUUUUGGCAGAGUAAGAAACUAAUUUACUCUGAGAUAAUUUGAGAGUUAUGUAAAAUAUAUGUGUCAUAUUGCAGUAUAGAUGAAAUAUUGUAUUUGGUUAUAGCAGCUAUUCUAAAAAUGUAAUGAUAAUGUUUUUAAUAUAUGUUUUCAUGAUUUUGAAAAUUUAUAUAACAAGUUUUUUUUCAAUUGUACUUGCCUACUGGUGCUUCUGAGAUAUCAGGUGAUUAUGUCAGUGAAGCAUAUUGCAAAUUUAAGAAAUUAAUUAUGGUGUUAGUUAUGUGUUAAUGCUACUAUAUUAUUUUGUUGCUGAUGCUAAUACAGGUUUACUAAGUUUUGGAACAAAGUAAAAUAGAAAUUAAACAAUAAAAUCAUAUGUUGAACACAAUGUUUUGAAGUAAUUAGCUGCAUGGAUUGGGAUUUCAUGCGGUAAAAAUUACACACGAUUAUACACGGUUUUGUAUUUCGGUUUUCGCCUGAUAAUUAGAGAUCGGACAAUUUAGAUUAUACUAUACGUAAAUUAACUAUCAAUGAUAACGAUUGUUGUUCUUAGGUCGGACGACUAAGAUCUAUAAUUGCGUCCUACAACUACAACAGGAAAUCCAAAUCCAUUAGUUGUACAGUUAAGUCUAUUUUAGCCAUAAAAGAAGUAAGGAAUUAAAACAAAAGGACAAUGAAUUAAAAUAACUUUUUCCUUUUGUUUUCAUUCUAUGAUACAUGGUCCUUAGUGAAUAAGAAAUAGAGUUGGUGUUGUCUAUAUAGUAAGGAAUUUCAUUUUUGUGGAUGUAUGUAGAGACGAGGAGAUGAACAUUAGAGUCUACUACAAAAAUCACACAAAAAUAAUUUAAAGAAAGAAUCUGAUUCAUUUUUUAAUUUCAUAAACUAAUACAUUUGUUAUCUCCAUUUCCUAAAAGAAAUGGACAUCUCUAUUACUAUAGUUUUUUGUAUAAAUUUAUAAAAUGAAUGCUAGCAACAUUCUCUCUAGCACUCACUCUUUUAUUGGGUGAAAUCAAUGUAGGAUUUACACUUUGGAAAAUAAAUUGAUGGGAGAUACAUUGAUUUAACGCAAUAAAAGAAUGAGUGCUAUAAAAAGUAGUUGAAAGAGAGUGUUGCUAGCACUUCUCAAUUUAUAAUUAAUGUCAUCAAUUUUAAAAAUAUGUACAUUUAUAUCAUGCAUUUACUCUAAAAUUAUACUCCAUCCGUUUCAAAAUGAGUGUCGCUUUAACAAAAAAAAAUUGUUUUAAAAUGAUUGUCACUUUCAGUUUUCAAUGCAAUAAUAACUUUUCUUUUUCAAUUGUACCCUUCAAUUAAUAUUAUACACACUACUUCCAAAAUAUUAUUUUUUCUUUAAUGAAAAACAAACCAAUAGUUGAUUAGGAUAAUUUGGUAAAAUAACAUCUCUCUUUCUUUUAGUUGAUGCAUUUCUUAAUCUGUGUGCAAUUGGCUAAAACAAUACUCAUUUUGAAAUGGAAUGAGUCGAAAUGGAAUUACCAUCAAAGUCAUAUUUUCUAAAUGUAGUUGCUCCUCAAAGCAUUUUUGUUCUUUGAUUUCAACAUUAAACCAAUUUUCCUAUACUCCUUGCGUCCUUGUUAUAAGCUCUUUUGACUAAAUUCACGCAUAUUAAGAAAAGUUGAUAAUGUAGUUAAUGUAUCUAAUUUGUGUUUGAAUUUUACUAAACUGUUCUUUGUUUGCAAGUGUAUUUAAUUUGACUUUUCAUAUUUAAAGACAAGUUAAUAGUAUUAAUUAAAGGUAUGUUUAGAAAGAAAAAAAAAUAACAAAUGCGUUUAGUAAUUUCUAUAGGGGUUUAUAUUUAGGGACAAUUUUUUUUUCUUCAAAUGGAGCUUAUAAUUAGAGACAGAGGGAGUAAAUAAUAGUUGUUCAGUCACAUGUAUAAUAUUUUGCAAGUCAAUAAAAUAUUAGAAGAAGUCCCCGUGAGCUUAAAAGAUGCUUUGAUUUGCCGAUUUGGAUGAUUGCUUCUUGAAUCACAUAAAAAACACCCUGUAUUUGCUAGGUUUCGGGAAAAUUAUAAUUACAUGACUCGAAAUGAGAACAUUACAAAAUUUUCCCAGAAUCAUAGGCAAUUGUUUUUAAACUCAUCUAUUUUGGAUCUAAACUAAAUAAAAAUGCUAAGAAUAAUGUAAGAUGAGCCGUCAUCAGCUUUUAAGAAAUAGGUCAGGUGAGCAUUUCUAUCUUUUGAUUCCAUACAUGAGAAUUGGUUCUCCUUUUGAGUGGUGAGAACUACAUUUUUAUGUCAAAGACAGGGUUCGCCAGUUGGAACCCUUGGGCAACAUCAUCGAUGUUGUUGAGUCUUCCAUAAUCUCCAAGUGUGAUGCGUUCCACAUCUUCCAUCUCGUCAUCGAAUGACAAAUCACUUAAGUAAGGCAGUGGAACAAUUGCUGCUUCUCUUUCUUCCCGGAUGACUUUUCGGAUUUCUCUCUCAGUUUUAUCGAUGUUAGAGUUUAAAGAGUUUAAUAGCAAGACACCACACUACACAUAAAACAACUCGCAAGAAUUUUAAGAGGAGUUUGAGGUAGUAGAUUAAACUAUAGCAACACAAAAGGAAAUAAUAUUUUUUUCCGGUUUUUUUUUAUUAUAUAGAAAAUAAAAAUAAAAUAAAAACAAACUAAAUAUAAUCUAAAUAUUAUCCCAAAAACUAAAAACAAUAAAAACAAACUAAAUCUUUUUAUUCUUUUUGAAUAAGAUAAGAAAAUAAAACUUACAUAGUAAAAACAAAACAAAUUUAAUCUAACCUAAAACCAAGGAAAUAAAAACUAACCUAAUCUAAAAAGAUUUAAUUCUAAUAUAAAAAGUUAAACUUAAACUAGAAAGCUAAUCCUAAUUUCUGGUAUCUAACUUAGCACUGACCUAAAAAAUGGGUACUAAAAAAACUAACAUAGAAAAUUAAAAAACUAACGUAAUUCUAAAAGCAGAAAAUAAAAACAAUAUAUUUACAAAAUAAAUUCAGCGAAUUGCCUUGUCGAAAUAUCAACAAUUCCCGACAACGGCACCAAAAAUUUGAUGGACAAAUUGGCAAGUGCACCAAAUUAUAACAAGUAAUAAAGUAGUAUAUUAUCUUGUCCACAUGGCUUGUCAUUCAACUUAGCAAUUAGCAGAAUUUAUUAAAGUAAAAAACAUUAAAAAAGAUUAAUGGGUUGCAUGUUUUUUUAAUUGUCCGGCACAGUACAAGAUUAGGUUGUUUUUUUCAAAUGUUUAACGACAGUUAUUGUUUCCUUCAAUCCCCUCUACAUUCUUUAUUGGAAUUAAUUUAGUUUGUUAUUAGUUUAUGAACUUCCUUUAUUUAAGAGAAUAUGACAUGACCCCGUGAUGUAAUAGUGGGAAGUUCGAGUGUUUGUGUUGCGACAAAGGUUAUACUUCCGAUAAAGAGAUGAUAAAUGGGCUUUUUCCUCCGAUACUACUUAGAAAACAAGCAAAAUAAGCAUUUUUCUCGUACUAAUGUGCAAGGCGGGUGGACGCACACGCAUGGGCACAUGAGACAACAUCCAGGGUUGUCCCAUAUGGUAGGGCGCAUGGGGCAGUAGCCUGGAUGCAAAUUUUGCAGUUUUCGUCCCUUUUCGAGCAUUUUUCUUGUCUUGAAAUGUCUUGGAACUUGAGAUGAAUUUUCCCCAACUUACAUUGUCUUUAAAAACCUUAUAAGAGCCAUUGAUUUUCAUUCUUCAUAUCCUUGGUCCUUGAUUUAAUGUCUUGUUUUUCCGAUUUACAUGAUUUCUCAAUAAAAAUACUAAAAACACCUAUGGAGUUGCAUGAUUUAGGAUAAAAGUGAAUUACAACAGCUUGAAUGAUAACUAUACAAAAUAUUCCUCAAACGAUGGACAACUCCUCUAAAUGACCUCUUAUUUGUCUUCAGGUGUAAAAAAAAUAACUAAAAAAUCAUACGUUAAUAUCAUAUGAUUAUAUGUCAUCACAUUUUACUUUCUACUUUCUGUCCAUUUAAGACAUAUUGAACAAUAAACACACCUUCCAAAACGUGCAAGGAACAGGAACCUCGUACAUUAAAAUACAAGUAUGUGUUAAUAGAUUGAUUUUACUUAAUUAAAAAAAUAUUUUAUCUUGAAAAGAGUCUUAAAAUGUUUUUAGUUAAUUGUAUGUUCUUGUUUAAAUGUUCGGUUGCUACUAAUGUUGCUCCAUAUAUCAAAGUGAUGGCGUGAGUUUUGUUCAAAUUCACAACAUUUUAAAAUUGAUAAAUUUAGAUAAUGGUUCAAAAACUUAAACUCGAUUUGGAACAAUAAACAUUGGGAUUGAACUAUUCAAAUAACCCUAUUACAUACAAUUUUGAUUCAAAAUUAACAUGUUGAUUUGAUUGGUUUAAUUCAUAAAACCUUCAUUUAAAUAUAAAUAUAAAAAUUUCACCAAUGUAAAAGGUAGCAUAGCUAUGUGAGAAUUAACAUCAUUGUUAUUAUGUCACCAAUAGUUGUCAUACCAAUUUAUUUAUUGCAUUCGUUUACCACCAAAUGCAAUAAGGUUUACAUGAAGUCAAACCUUAAUAAGCAUGAAACAAAGUGAACUUAUUAGGUUAAAUACAUAAAAUGGGCGAAAAGUAACACAUUUUUCAAAGUAGAUUCCUUUGAAGACAAAGUAGUAGUAUUAUCAACCUUGUUCAGUUCUAAAUCUUCUAAACCCUUCUAAAUAAGCAUUUCAUACAUAUACUUAAAACUUAUUGUCUUGAAUGUACGAGGUAGAGCACUAGUCAAUUGUUGACAUUUUUUUAUCCUAUAAGUUUACUCUUGUUUCAAACUAAAAAAAAAUGAUACAACAUGAAAACAACAUAAAAUCUAAUUUCAUUAUAACUAUAGCUUAUGUGCAACCUCUGCUGUUGCAAAUGCUUGUACCCUCUAGACAUAUCCAAUCAUUCAACAUGUAUAUUUCUUCUGCCUUUUCCUCGUAUCUACAUUCAACAUAUACAAAUUGUCGUCAUUUCAAAAACCACACAAUAAAAUAGACUACCAUUUGUUUAACCUGACCACGCAAUUUUUCAAAGAUCUAUUUCAGCCCAUUAAUUAAGCUUCAUAAUCAAACUCAUUAGUAAUUAUUAAACAUGCACAAGCCAUUAGAAAUUAUUAAGCAAUGACAUCUCAUAAGUAAUUACUUUGCAUUUAAAACCUAGCAAGCACCAACGCAUACACAAGACAUGACACUAACACGUCCACAACGAUUAUACUUUGAGAAAUUAAAAUAGUUGUCAUAUCAGUGGUACAUGUAUUUAAAGUGAACGAAUAUGCAUGAUAAAAUAUUAUAUAAUAUUUUAAUUAAAUCAAUAAAUAGAUGAAUUAAAAGAUAUAAUUGAUGUACAUUAAUAUUCUAUCAUCUAGUGGUAUUUACCAACAAUACAAUAAGCUCAAUAAAAUCAAUAAAAAAUAAAAAGGACAAAAUAACAAACAUGCAUAGUAGUUUAGAAAUUUACCCGAUGACAAAAUUUAUCCUUUGCAAGGGAGUUGCUAGUAUCAAUCUCAGUGCCAUCGUGUACCAUGUUGUUGGAUCUAGUACAUUAGUAAUUAAAUUGAUUUAGGAAUCAAUAUGAAAAUUUUAUAAUAAAGGUUGAUUUUAUACAUACGAGAAAACAUCAAAUCAAGAUUCAAAUUAUAAUUAUUACUUUUAAAGAAUUAUAUUAUUUUCUUAUGAUACUUGUUUGAGAGUAAAUAAAAUAUUAAGUAAAAAUAAAUAAUAAUAUUUUUGAUAUCAAUCCAAAAAACAAAGAAAUUAAUUCAAAAUAAGCUAUAAUAAAUAAUAGGCGUACCUUCUUCAAAACGAAUUUUUUUUGUCCUCUUUGUUCCAAAUUUAAUCAAAGAAAUGACACUCGAACGAGAUUUAUCUUGGACAUUACCAAAGCAAACAAUAGGAUAAACCGUAACAAUGCUUCGAUAUACAUAAAAUCUUGAUGAUAACCAUUUGAUGAGAUCUAAAAUGAUAAUAUUUGAAGUGAGUUUUGUUGCCAUGUUCGUGGAUCUGGUGAAGACAAAACAAGAUAAGAUUAAAAAUUGAAAAUGAUCCAAAUAAAUAGAUGCAAUUGAUAAGAAAAAAUAUGAAUGAUUUGAAAUUUGUAUCUCACCCUACCAUAAUAAUUAUAAUCAAUUCAUAUAUGCGAACAUAUUCUCUUCAUCAAUGAAAGAUAGACAGGUAGUGGAAGACUACCUUUAUAUCUUUCAUUAUAAUCCAUUAAUAUAUGCGUACAUAUUCUCUUCAUCAAUGAAAGAUAGACAGGUAGUGGAAGACUACCUUUAUAUCUUUCAUUAUAAUCCAUUAAUAUAUGCGUACAUAUUCUCUUCAUCAAUGAAUGAUAGAGAGAUAGUGGAAGGCUUUUCAGCAAGCCAAAGAGAAUGAGAGGAAUCAAGCUUUGGCGAAGCGCAACUGACCUUUUCUAGUAUUACCAACCAAAGUAAAGACAUACGUUUAUAUAGAGUUUACUAGAUGAUGAGUUAGGGUUAAGUUAGGUUUUUAUUAUGGACUGCCCAAAUGAGUAAAGCCCAUUUAAGUCCAAUCCCAGUAACAAACAAGCCCAAUUCAACAUUGGGACAAUUACUUGUUUCACACCCUCUCCCCGUAAGGGGCGGCGUUUGUAGCAAUAUUGGACGUUAAUCCAACCACAAAAUCAUAACGGCCAAUUUAACUGCCAAGCAACUAUAAUUGUUGAGCAAAUAUCUUCCGGCAUUAACACAUGCAUUAUUAUAAAAAAGAAAAUCAUAAUAGAAUAUAAUAAAUUAAAAAAUUAACUCUAAAUGUAUUAAAACAUUUAAUAUAUAAUUAUAUCAAAUUUACAAGAAAGUUUGAAUACACAACACAAAAAUACAUAUCAAUUAAUUAUUUUAACAGAUCUAUUUAGGAUUUUUAAUAAGCAUGUCAAUUUUAAAGUUGGGUAAGUUUUUAUCUUCAUCUGAAAAUUUAUCAAUGAGAAUAUCAUAUUUCACACAAAAUAAAGAUCUAAAGAAAUCCUCAUUUUAAAUCUUAGUACGAUGAGUAAAAAGAAAUGCACCAUGAUCUUGUAAAAAAAAGGGUUAAUAAUGCUUUAACCCAUUAAUUCUUCUCUCAUCCCCUCGUUAUUUUGAUUAAAAAAAUGAAGCUCGUAGAUUUAGAUCCCAGCAACGAUAAACUACAUUUUGUUGUUGUUGUUCCACAACUUCCUCAACAACAACAACUUUAAUCAAAAUUGAAGGUAAACAGCGUUUUGACACCCUGAAGCUUUUAAAAUGCAACAUUCUGAUCCAAGUUAACAACUUAACGGCUAUAUCAGAAUCAAUUAAUAUUAACCGACAGCAGGGGUAACGGUGAAAUAGUUUAUCAACUAAAAGGACCUCUUUGAAAUUUAAAGGACUAAUUUGGAAAUUAUGUCAAACUAAAAUGACCUAAUUGAAACUUUCGAGAUUUAAAGGACUAACUUAGAAAUUAUGUCAAACUAUUUGGCCGCCUAUAUAAUAUAGAAAUAUAGAUAACAAUUUUUAUAAAAAAAUAAAUAAAUAUUUGUUGAAACUUCCCUUCAAAAACAACUAAGUGUUGAAGUUUCCCUUAAAAAAACAAAGUGUUGAAACUUAAAUAAUCCAAGCAUGGUAAAAUUGCAUCCCUCAAGACUAGGUCAAGCAUAAGAGAUUUUAUGAAAGAGUUAAAGGUAAAAUUGGUUUGAAACACUACUAUGAAGAUGUUGAAAGAUAAGAAACUAAACCGGUGCAAGGAGAAGAAACCAAAUCUAACUCUGAUUCUAACUAGUAGUGUAUUAAUCUGUGCGUCGUACAUGAUGAACAUGUGAAUAAUGAAUAUAUAUAAAUAUAAUAUUUUGAUAUUUUUUUAGAUUCUUUUAAAUAAAUAUUCUCAUUUAAGUAAUAGAUUUUAGUGUAGAUAUUGAUAUGCUUUCAUGUUAAAAAGUUUUUGUUUUUAAAAGAUGGUAAAAAGUUAUUAUAUGUAUAUAAUAUAUAUUUAUAUUCUUAGUUAAUCUAACUUAUCAAUUUUAAAUUACCUUCAUUAAAAAAAAAAAAAAUCACCUUGAUUCCAUUUAAAGAAAGUUCGAUGAAUAAUCUUUGAACAAAAAUGAUUGAAAUUAACACAUAAGAAUAUAGAUGUGAUCCGGCUAGGGAGUCAGUUUGUAAUUCUAUUAUAUAAUAUCAUUUUCAUUUUUUUAGUAGGACUUAGAAAGGGGGAACAAAGUCGUUUUAUAAAAGGGGGAUGUUAUUAUAUGAUAGAAUCAUCCAAUCUAAUUGAUUUUAUUAGCACAAACUGUUUAGUUCCCGCUUAACCACCUAAGUCCGAUACAAUCGGCAGUUGUUAAGGUAAGCGAACUAAUAUUGAGUUUUAUGAUUGUCUAAGCGAGCAAGCACAAUCUCAACUCUACCACAAUCAUUUGUGCUCGAUCCAUCCGUCAUGGUGAUAAAAGUAGAUGAUAUCUCAAUCUAAACCUCAUCCAGUUUCCAAGAGAACGAAAGUGGGAUCGAGUUGAUACUAGAACCCUAAUCACAUAAAGCUUCUUUAACGGGAACGUUGUCGAUAGUAUCUAUAGUACUACCUCCUUGAGAUCAUCUUCCUCCAUCAUAUCUUGUAACACUUCGUUAGGGUCUUCAAAAUAAACUUUUGAGGACCUAGACCAAGUCUAGUAGCAUAUCCAACAAUUCAACAAACUUGUAGUUCUUGUUAAUGAGAGACAUUCUUUCUAGAAUUUUGUUGAUCAUGUUCAGCUCCUCAUUCUCUUUAACUAUCUCACUUGGGAUUGUCAUAAGUACUUCCUAAUUAUCCUUCUUUCAGGGUAGCAACAAUUUGAUUAGAUAGCUGCCUAAUUUGAGUUUCAAAAGGUUCGUUCUUGAUGGAUGAGUCAUUGUUCCUUUAAACUAUCUCUUGGCUCACUCUCAACUCUUGAAACUGUUAUAGGUCACCAUUAUAAGUUGGCCUAACAUUUCUUCAAGUCGAGAAGGCUUCCUUGGCUGGGCAGCUGGAGCAUUUUGGGGUGUUCCUUCAGUCAGGUUUAAGGUAAAAUUGAUGGCCCACUUAUGAUCGGGGUGGUUUCUUGAAUUGAUGUAAUAUGUGUUAGAAAAGGGACUACCUCUUUGAUAACUCUCCAAAAUCUUUGUCCCUUUCAUAUAUAAUAUUGAUAAUAUUGUUCGUGUUGUAGUUGGACAUUUCUUAUUUUUAUGGAAUUUAAUUUUGUUUUAAUUAAAAUUUAAAAUAAUAUUAUUAAAGGAUAAAAUAGUAAAUAAAAUAAUUUAAAUGAAGGGUAAAAUAGAUAAUGAAAAAGUCAGCUUAAACUCGUUUAUUUUAAGUGUAUUUUUUUUUUAUAUAUAUAUACUAACGUAAAGACGGACACGUUCACUAAAGUUUGAAAAUUAUGAAGGGACUAUUGCAUAUCAUAAACCGUUCAACGUCAAUUAUCAUCUCAAGUUUAUGGUUUAAAAGUUUGUUUGUUUAAAAACUAAUCUAACUAAUUUACAUUAAAUUAAAUAGAGACGAGAUAAGGCAUAUAACGCUUAGGGUUAGAGUUCGUCAACUAGGCAUUACAUAUGUAUUCUCAUGAUCACAUAAACAGAUUCCAGCUUUUAAUCGAUAUUAUCACAAGCACUCGACAACAUCCUUCAUGACUAAAUAAUGUUGUGAUUUCAAUUGUAUCGUUUAAUCGACGAUUUCUCAAUCUAUUAAACGAUCCAAUAACAUUAAGUUCUUGAUAUUUAAAGUGAUUACCAAAACCUAAACCCUAUGUCUAGAAUAAAAGCUUUGAUAGAUUAUUAUUCUAACCUUAGAUUCAAAAGUACCUUUCAAUAUCAUCCGGCCUAACAAUUUAGAUAAAUUCACACACACAAGUGGAGGUACCGGGGUUCGAACCCCGAUCAUGGCAUCCGGCCUAACAAUUUCGGCAUUUUUACCAGUUGAGCUAUUGUACACCCACUUUUAUUGGUACUAUAAUCGUAAAUGAAAUUAUCUAAAUUUCUUCCGGAAAAAAACAUUGAUUUUGGUCAAAAAGAGAAUCAAUAACAUCGAUUAAUAUUCCUUUAAAAAAAUUGAUUAAUAUUCUUUAAUAUUUUUUUGAAGAAUGAUUAAUAUUCAUUAACUGUUUUACAUAAAAAAACUAAUUCUAUACUUGUUACUUGACUUUGAAAUUUUUUAUUCCUUAUUAUUUUUUCGUUCAAAAUUUAGAUUCAAUCAAUUUGCAUAUCAGUCAUUUUUUCAUAUAAUAAAAAGCAAUUUUCUUCUUAAAAUAAGUUACCUAAAAUUCACAGGUUUUCAAUUCUCACUGAAAAAAGUCAAGUCAAAUUAAAGAAUAAAAAUUUUCUAAAAAAUGCAUAAAAAAAAACUUUUCUAAACAAUAAAAGAUUAUAAGUCUAUAAAUUCUCCUUGAGGAUUUUUCUGUACCUUGAAAUGAGACUUCAUCUUCUCAAUCUAAAAUAUAUCGUAUACAAUAAAUAUUUGAGACUUGAUCUUCUAUUUUCGUAGUUCUUAGUUUUGUUUCAUUGGCAAGUCUAUCAAGAUAAAAUUCUACUAUAUCUUCUGGAGGCAAAUACACACAUGCAUGGACUUUACUAAUUAUUUAUAUAUUUGUUACAUUAUUACUGUAGGGUCCUCCCUUUGGAAUAGAAGAGCAUGAACUUUUUACGUGCAAAAGAUGAUAAAGGAGAAUGCUAGGAUGAAAGAAAAGGUUAGUUAACUUUUUUCUUUGAGAUAAAAACAUUAUUUUAAAAACCGGACUCAUUAUGUAGUUUAGUUAGUGAACCAAAAAUUGAUUCGUUUAAUGGUUGGUUUGACCAUAUUUGUAUUGCAUUAUGGUUGACUCAGAUCGCAAUUGAUUCAAUUAGUUCAUAUUUUUUGCAGUAUUUCAUUAUACUUUUUAAUACUCUUUGUGUAUAUUAAUAAAUGUGUUUUUCAAGUCUCUCAAAAGUUCAAAUUCCACUGAACAAAGCAACUGGUGUAAAUUUAAUUGUGAAAGUUUAGGAUGCACAUAGAAAAUUAAUUAAUAAAUACAAGUAGUUGCUCUUAUUGUUUUAGGAUAUGUUGGUGAAGGAUAAUGAUUUAUUGUAUAGUUUUCUUUUGUAUGGUUUUGAGAGUUGAAUUUACAAAACUAUUACAAUAUGGUUUUGUGAUUUCUUGUUCAAGGAUGCAAUUGUUAAAUUCAACUCUCAAAUUCAUAGAAAAGAAAAUUUAUACAAUGAAACAUUAUCCUUAAUCAAGAAAUCCUAAAACAAAAGGAGCAACUACUCUGAAUUGUUUCAUUUCCUAAGUGCAUCAUAAACUUUCACAAUUGAACUUCCACCAAUUUCUUGGUUUUGUGGAAUUUAAACUUCUGAGAGUCUUGAAAAUGCAUUUAUACCAUAUUAAGUUUGUGUAAACUCAUGUUGUGAUAUCCCCUUCCCUUCGUACUUUACUAUCAGGUAGGGCUGGCAAUGAAUCGAAUCAACUCGAUUAAAGUUCAUAAUUUGAUUCGACAAAUGAUUCAUCGAACUUGGUUCAUGAACCAAAUGAGCCGAACUUGAGUUGAAAAUUAAGUUCGUCAACUAAUUGAGCUGAACUUGAGCUAUAUGUAGUUCAACUCGUUUGGUUCACGAGAUGACUCGAUUAUAUAUAUAACACUUAAACAAUAUUUUUAAAUUUAUAUAUAAUUGAUUUUACACGUUUAGAUAAUUGAUUAUAUAUAUAUAUAAUACUUUAAAAACUAAGACAAACAGUUAGUAGUAAUAGGAUAAAAAUGAGCUACUUUAAAAUUGAUUGACAACGCCAUGCACAUUGUUGUUGUAGUUUUUAAGGAUUUCAAAACUAAAAUAGUUCCGCAUCGGAUCAUGCAUGAAAAAUAGAGGAUGCGAUUAUCUAUAAUAAGAAAAACAUAUGACAUAAGAAGGAAAAAUUGGAUUUGGUGGUUGCAUACUAGCGUUAAUUACUAUGUGUAAUAAUAACUAAAUUCUUUGACUUUUGAGUUACGUUGUUCAAGUGACUUUGCUCAUUUCCUUACCUAAAGUUAUGCGCUUUGAACAAACGAAUUGAACUUAAUGAGUUGAACCAAACUGUUCGUGAACUUUAAAUGAACCGAACUUGAGCAGUAAAAAAAGUUCGUGUCAAACUCGAAUCAAGGUUUGAACCGAGCCAAUUCUUAAUGAGUCAAGUCGAACUUAGACAAGUUCGAUUCGACUUGACUCAUUUCCAGCCCUCCUACCAGGGUGGACACCUUCUCAAUCUGAAAAUUGAUUAAUAAAUAAUAUUUAUUUUUAAAAAAUAUUGAUCUUGCAUUUAGCCUUUUUAUCCAAUGUUUUAAAAUUCGGGAAACAAGUUAAACCGGAUAGACCUUCAAGUCAUUGUUCAAUCGGUUAAAUCAUAAUUGAAUCAAAUGAAAAAUAAAUAAAUGCAUAAUACAAAAACUGCAAAAAGUAUGAAUAGAUUGAAUUAAUUGUGGUUUAACACCAUGAUUCAACCAGGCUGCAAUACAAAUAUGGUCAAACCAACCAACCAACAAAAUUAUCAAUUUUUGGUUCACCAAUUGAACAAGUUGGUUCGGUUAGAUUUUUAAAGGCUUAAUUGCACUUUUGGCCACCUAUCUUUUCAAAAGUUACAAUUUUAGCCCCCUAACUAAUUAAAAUAUAAAACAACCCUAUGUAUUGGAUCUUUAGUAGUUUUGGCCCCCAAUGCCAUUUUUGACUUAGUCUUUGCUGAUGUGGCACCCACAUCCCUUAAGUGAGAUGCCACAUGUCGACCAUUGUGGGUGCCACGUCAGUGAAGACUAAGUCAAAAGUGGUCUUGGGGACCAUAACUGUUAAAGAUCCAAUACAUAUGAGGCUGUUUUGUAUUUUAAUUAGUUAGGGGUCAAAAUCGCAACUUUUAAAAAGAUAGGGGUCAAAAGUGCAAUUAAGCCAUUUUUAAAAUAUUGAUUUUAGCCCCAAAAAAUGAAAAAAUUUAUAAUUGAUAUUUUAUUAAAAUAAAAAUAUAAUCAAUGAAAGAAAUUUACUAACCUUUUCUUUCAGCCAAUCGUUUUCCUGUCUCAUCUUUUGCUUGUAAAGUUAAUGCUAUUAUAUUUGGAAAGGAGAACCCCCACAGGUAGGGAGGGAAUAGGUCAGGUCGGUCAACAGGGGCCUACGGCCUAGCCUAUAAUAGGUCGGGUUAGGCCAGACUUUUUUUUUUAAAGAGAGCAGACUUUUUUUAAGCUUAUUUAGUUUAAAAGGCCAGACCACAGGCCUCUCAAAAAGCGUAUUAAGCCUAUUAUGCCGGCCUAUUUAAGUAAUAUGAAUAAUAUUAUUUAUUAUUAUAUUAUGUUUUAUAUUUUGAAUUAAAAUAUAAAUUUGUAAACUUUUCAAUAAUUUAAUUAACCUUUAUUAGUUUAAAUAAUUUUUUUGCAUAUAUAAAUGUAUUAUUAUAAACUAGAAUUGAAAUAUUAUGCAAUAUAUAGUCGAAUUUCCUAAAAUCUCGUGUUGAUUAUCAAAAGAGAGUUUAAUCUAAUUGAACUAUUAGUUCGGUAGUCCAUUUAAACGUAGAUCACAUUGUUUAUUUAAAGAUGUUCAUAAUAUAUAGACUUUUAAACAGGCUAGCAGACCGUAUCAAGCUUUCAGAAGGCCAGACUUAAGCUUUAAAAAAAUAUGGCAGGCCAGGCUUUAGGCCUUGUAAAGCCUAGCUCGGCCUAGCUGGGUUAAGAUCCUCUCCAUUUGAUAAAAUAAAUGGAAGUACACUGAUGACAGUCUGUCAUUUCACAUUUUUAGAGUCUUUUUAUGAUAUUUUUGAGUUCACAAGCAAGCUUAAGCAGCAAGAAAACCAAGAAAAAUAGAAGAUUUUGAAGAAAGCAAAAUCAUGUCACGAUUGUUGAAAACGUGUCACGAUUUGGAGCACAGAAUGAGGUUCAUUCGACAUUGGUUAAAACGUGUCACGAUAGCUAUUUCGUGACACGAUUUUAGGAACAUGUGGCACAAGAAAAGAAAAUAAUGUCACAACACGGAAGGUGCAAAAAGAAGAAACAAUUGGGCUUUGACCAAAAAUUCAUGAUGUUGACCCAAGAGAAUAGAAAACUAUCAUGCGGCCAAUUGGAAAAGGGAGGACGAGGUCACUUUGGCAUAUAAAUACAAGAAGCAGCUCCACAAGAAAAAGGAUGUUGGAGAUGAGGAUUCACGUGACGGCACAUAAAAUUCACGUUUUGUGAAUUGAAAACAUUCACGCAUCACGAGAAGGGAAGAAGGCAUAUGGAUAGGGAAAAAAACUCAUAAUCAGUAGCGAUUGAAAGAAUUGAGGAGCAACGCCGACAACGACGAAACUCUAUCGGCUUAUUUUUUUUAUUAUGUUGUUUAUGUAUUUAACCAUGUCUAGCUAAUUUCCUUUGAUUAGGUCUGAGAUUCUGUGUAACCCUUAUUGAACCAUGUUGUUGUGAAACUCUAUUUAUUGUGAAUGACAAUCUAGUUUUUAUUCAAUUCAAUUGUUGUUAAUGCUUUUUAUAUCCUGAUCAAAUAUAAACAUGAUUUAGUGAGAAUGAAUGACUACUGACCAUAGCUUUCUACUUAGACAAAAUUGAAUUGUUCUAAUAAACAUGGUUAGUCUAGGAAUGGAUAAUCCUUUAUUAGUGAUAUUAGGUUAACGUGCUUAAACCUUCAAAGAUUAUUAGACCACCUAAGGAAUUAGGGGUUGUAGUUUGAGAAGAGGGUCCUAACUCAAGGGAUUGAUUAAGACUAUUUUGUUAACUAUCGUGGAAUUAGAAAAUUAUUCAUAAGAAUAGGUGCAGUAUACCAAUUAGGGGAACAUAGAUGAUUCGAAAGAGCUGAUCUCAUCUCUCUUAUUCUUUUCCAAAACUAUCUUUAUAUUCUGUUUAUUUAAUUUUAUGCAAACCAAAACUACUGCCUCAGGCACUAAAAUAAUUUACACAUCCUAAAUAUUAACCUUAUUGCUAAAUUGAGAUUAACACAGUCCUCGUGGGAACGAUAUUUUUACUACUUCGAUAGUAUUUAGUACACUUGCUAAAAUAUCUAUCAUACACAAAUUAAAGAGAGAUAGACACAUAAAAUAGAUAGUGGGUCCCACCAAUCAUUAAUUAUUUUUUACUUUUUCCAAUUUUUUUGAGUCUAUAUCUCUCCAAAUGGAGAAAUGGGAGAAUACAAAAUAAAGAAGAUCUUGACUCGGUCUAGCCUAUUCUCAUCCCUACCCACAAAUUUUUACAUAGUGUGAUCUUCAAUACCUUUCCUAUAAAGAUAUUUUCAGUAGAGAAAUGAUAUUUGUACAACCAAUUUGUGACAACUUUUUGACAACUUUCUCUCUCAUACUUACAUUAUCCUCUUAUUCUCUCUCUUCCGUUUUCUCUCUCCAUUGUUUUUAACCAAUGAAAAGAGAGAAAGAAGAAGUUGUCACCAAAAGUUGUAUUAAAUGGUUGUUCAAAUAUCACUCCUCUUUUCAGUAUGGAGCUAUUUUUUUCAACACGAAGAGUUGUUAUGUGCUUUACUGUGUUUUCUCUUAAUAAUAAUAGGCUUAAUUAGUCCCUGAGUCCCUUAACUUAAUUGUUUGUACCAAAUUGGUCCCCUAAAUAUAAUUUGUACCAAAUUCGUCCUCUAAGUUUUGCUCCGUUACCAGUUUCGGUCCUUUAUGUUAGUUUGGGUCAAAAAACGUUAAGUUAUGUAUAUGUGGCGUUUGACGUGGCAAUUUAAUUGGGUAUGUGGCAAAGAUGACUCACUACUAUAUAUUGGAAUGCAGAGAUUGAAAUUAGGGUUCAUGUGACAUUUUCUCCCCGCUUCUCUUCUUCUUCUCCAAAAUCGGCCUACCCUCUUCUCUUCUUCUUCACCAAAAUCGUAACCCACUUUCUUCUUCUUCUUCUCAAUCGUUUCUGAGCAAAUAUGUCGGCCCAAUCAUCAAAAGGCCAAACACGACCAUGGGUGCAGGACCAUUCAAGAGGUUCAGUUGGAUCUAGUAUGAGAAGGAGAUCGAACAAGGAAUGUUGGUGUGGAGAACAAGCUGUGAUUCGAACAGUGGCUGAUAUGAGUAACCCCAACUGUGGAAAGAACUUUUGGGGUUGUAAGAACUACAAAAAUUCAUUUGACAAAGAGUGUAGAUUCUUUAAGUUAUUGGAUGAGGAUGUUAUUGAUGAAAGGGAUGUAAAGAUUGAGAAGUAGAAGAAGAUUAAAAAGUUGAAGAUCGAGCUUGAAAAUACAAGAAAAUUGAUGAGAAUGUCUAUGUUUUUGGGUUUGAUGGACUUUGGGAUGUUGCUGAUAGCAUGACAAGCCAGCAUGGACAUAGCUUAACGUUUUUUGACCCAAACUAACAGAAAGGACCGAAACUGGUAACAGAGCAAAACUUAGAGGAUGAAUUUGGUACAAAUUAUAUUUAGGGGACCAAUUUGAUACAAACAAUUAAGUUAAGGGACUCGGGGGCUAAUUAAGCCAUAAUAAUAUAACAAUAUAUAUAUACGAGAUUUGCUAGAACACACCCACUAAUUUUUAUGUGGGAGUGUUUUAGCAAGUUAUAACUAAAAAGUUAAUAAAUACACCUUAAGGUGUACGUUGCUAUAACACACCUUCUAAAAAAAGCAAGUGGGUGUGUUCUAGCAAAUCCUAUAGGCAUUUGCUAGAAUACACCCACUUAUUUUUUAGAAAGAGUAUUUUAACAAAUGAAUAACUAAAAAGUGGUUAAAUACACCUUAAGGUGUAGCUUUGCUAAAACACUCCUACAUAAAAACUAGUGGGUGUGAUAUAUAUAUAUAUAUAGAGAGAGAGAGAGAGGAUAUAUCCCAUGAGAAUGACUUUUGUAUGUGAGAAUGAUGAGAAUAAUUAUAAACCCUUCGAUAUAUAAUAGAUGGCUGAGAUUAAAACAACUCAUACAACAACACAUGUUUCUCCCCUUACUCUAUUAUUUCUCAUAAUCCCAACAUCACAUACGUUAACUCCUCUUCUUCUUCCUUCAAGGCUGCCGCUUCUUCUUCCCCUCCUUGUCGAACCCAACCCUCCACCGUUUCGCUGUCGGAAAACCGCCGCCUCCACCGAUUCGCGUCGGAAACCCACCGUCACCACUUUCCUACACAUGUUCCAUGUCGGAAACCCCAUAAAAAAGAAACAAUCCAGAUCCCAUAAAUUGAAAACUUCUCCUUUGUUCUUGACAAACUCUCGCAAUGGAUCUCAAUGUCUUUACCACAUACACCAUGGGACAAAGAUUUUUAUUUCUGUUUUCAAAUUUUUGUCUGGUUUGUUUUCAGUUACUGAGAAUCCUUCAACAAAAUACUGAAGACGUUGGAGAAAAACCUUAGGCAUGCAAACUUAAAUUAAAAUUUAAACAUAUUAAACUUCAAGAAUAUUGAAUUUAGUCUGAUUAUCAUCGAUGAUUUUUAUUAAGAUUUGCAAUUAAGAAAUAAAAUGAAAACUGGUCGUAAUUUUGUUGAUUUGCCUACAAUGAGUCUGAUGGAGAAUUUAAUUUCAAAAACCCAUUCAACAAUGUCAUUUGUAAUUUGAUUUUGUUGAUUUCCCUUCAAUUUGGUUCAGAUGGAGCACGAGGUGGAUGGGAGAAGAAGCAGCUAGCGAUUGGAAAUUGAGGAAGAAGAUAAACAAUCAAGAAAUUGGAUGUGGAGAGGGACAUGUGCCAUCUAAAAUAAAGUUUUUAAUCUAAACCAUCUAUUUUGAUCUAAUGGUUGAGAAGUAUUCUCAUCAUUCUCGCAUAAGAUACUCAUUCUCAUAUGAUACAUCCUAUAUAUAUAUAUAUAUAUAUAUAUAUAUAUAUAUAUAUAUAUAUAUAUAUAUAUAUAUAUAUGUAGAGUCAAUCGAUUACACUGUGCUUGUUAAUGGUGAGUAGGUUGGCCCUAUUAUUCCAGGGCGUGGUCUCCGACAAGGGGAUCCUCUUUCCCCCUAUUUGUUUAUUAUAUGUGCAGAGGGCUUAUCAACGCUUAUCAACGAUGCCGAGCGGAGAGGUGUUCUUACGGGAACCAAGGUUUGUCGCCAAGCACCUUCUGUUUCCCAUCUUUUGUUCGCUGAUGAUUGUUUUCUAUUUUUCAAAGCUAUUGAGGAGCAUGCUCAUGUAAUGAAAAAUAUAUUAUCCACUUACGAGUUAGCCUCGGGUCAAGCGAUCAGCUUGCCAAAAUCAGAGAUCUAUUGCAGCCGCAAUGUCCCUAGCGAUCUUAAAACUACUAUCACAGACAUCCUUGGCGUUCAAGUUGUUUUAGGUACAGGUAAAUAUCUGGGCCUACCUUCUAUGAUAGGCCGAGACAGCAAAGCUACGUUUACAUAUAUUAAGGAUUGCGUUUGGCAGAAAAUUCAUUCCUGGAGUGGUAAGUGUCUUUCGAAAGCGGGUCGUGAGGUAAUGAUAAAAAUCUGUUUUGUAAUCUAUUCCCACUUAUGUAAUGAGUAUUUUUCAGCUACCUAGUACUUUGAUUGACUCCAUAGAAAAGAUGAUGAACUCCUUUUGGUGGGGUCAUGGCAAAACGACCCAACGCGGGAUACAUUGGAUGAAUUGGGAGAAGCUGUCGGCACCAAAUAUUCAUGGAGGUAUGGGUUUUAAGGACCUCUCUGCUUUUAAUUUAGCUAUGUUGGGGAAACAGGGAUGGAAAUUUAUUACCAAAUCGGACUCUCUUGUUGCUCGCAUUUUCAAAGCUUGAUAUUUCCCUUCUGGUUCCUAUCUCACGGCUAUUGUUGGACAUAACCCGAGCUAUGUCUGGCGCAGUAUCAUGCGCGCUAGAUUUAUAAUGCGUGGGGGAGCACGGUGGAGCAUAGGAUAAGGUGCUACCAUACCCAUUCUCAACGAACCUUGGUUGUCUAAUGGGGAGUUUAUUAGUAGUGAUAUUCUAGGUGCUCAUUUUGUUCAUAAUUUUACUAUUAAUAGUCUGAUGAAUUUGCAUGACAAAAGCUGGAAUGAGAAGGUAGUUAGACAGGUAUUAAGCGUGGAUAUUGCAGAUAAAAUACUUCAUACGCCACUUAUUUCUCAAGUUGAGGAAGAUAGAAUUAUUUGGAAAGAAGAAAGGCACAAAAGCUACACUGUACGUAGUGCUUACAGGUUGUGUGUAACAGAUUUAAUUGAUUCUUCCUAUUUAUGGCGGCCGGGGUAUUGGUCUGGUAUUUGGAACCUUAAAGUUCCACCGAAGGUUAAGAAUUUAAUUUGGCGUAUGUGUCGAGGAUGUUUACCAACCCGUGUUCGUCUGUUGGAUUAAGACGUCGUUUGUCCCACUAACUGUUCUAGCUGUGACUCUACUCAUGAGGAUCUUUUGCAUGUUUUUUUCGAUUGUUCUUUUUCUUUACAGGUGUGGAACAGGACCGGCCUUUGGAGCUCGGUACAACACGCCCUCACUCAUACUACUUCAGCUAAGGACGCUAUUUUCUCUCUUUUGGAGACUUUGUCUGCUAAGUUAUCUCAACGUCUGUCAACUGUCAUAUGGAGCUUAUGGAAACACUGUAAUCUUAGAGUUUAGGACGAUGUUACAGAAACAAGUGUUGUGGUUGUAGAGCGUGCUAGGAACAUGAUUACGGAUUGGCAACUAGCGAAUUCUCCGGAUGUCCUUGCAUCCACUUCGCCUCCUUAGCAUGUCAUGGUCGCGCAUAUGGGGGCCUCCUCCUCACAGCAACACAACAUAAUAUUGUGGCAGCCCCCCACAUCAGGUAGAUAUAAGUGUAAUAUCGACGCAUCGUUUUCUUCUCUUCAUAAUCGCACAAGUAUUGGCAUUUGUAUUCGCGACUCGAAAGGUAGUUUUGUUCUGGCUAAGACUAAUGCAUACCCAUGUAUUGUUUCGGUGGAUGUUGGAGAAGCUUUAGGGCUGCACUCUGCUUUGCAAUGGUUGGGUGAUAUGCAGCUUGAUAAUGUGGACUUUGAAACAGAUUCUAAAGUAACAGUUGAUGCCUUCCUUUCUACACGGAACGACCUGUCUGAAUUUGGUUCUAUUAUUUCUUCUUGUCGUUCUUUGUUCCGUAAUUUAUAUUCUAACUCUAGGGUGGAGUUUGUUAGGCGACAAGCCAACGCGGUUGCUCAUGCUCUUGCACGAGAACUCACGUCUUUAGCUAGUCCCGCCGUUUAUUAUGAUAUACCCAAUUGUAUUGAGACUAUUAUGAUUAAUGAAAUGCUAUAAGCACAUUUUCCUAAAAAAAAAAAAAACAAGGCAUAUAUAUGUAGAUACUCAAUAAAUAUUUCUAUUUGCUUCUAAAAUUAAUACCUAAGUUAUAAAAUAUGCAUGAAUGAAAAACUACACAAUGUAAUCGGUUGUUUUGUAUUUAAUCAAUCUGCAUAUCAUCUUAACAAAUGAUAUGAUUCUUGGAGAUUUGUAUCACUUUUUCAAGUUAUAUGAUUCUCAUUGUAUGUGAUUGCUAUUUUUUUAAGUUAAAUUAGUCCACUUAAAUUGACAUCCACAAAAAUCAAAUACGAGACGAUGAGGAAUACACUUCAAGAUCUCAAAUCAGCACUAUCAGAUUAACUUAAAUGGGUUGUCAUUGUUAUUCUUAUACUAGUUAGUGUAUUGUUGAAACAAAACUAUUUAAACAUUCAUUUAUUACAUUUCAUGAAUGUGGGACUAUUGUAAAGAAGAAACAUAUGACAAGGAAAGAAAAAGAGAAUAAGAAAAUGGUGAGAGAUGAAAGGUUUAAAUGGUGAUCAUUGGAUUAAAACAAAGGAUUACGAUUAAAAAAUUGCACGUGAUAUCUUAAAUUCACACGCGUUUUAGUUAUGCAAGUUAUCACGUGCGCUUUUUAAUGAGUUGUUUAAUUUCAAUUAUGCAACAUUAGAUGCAAUUAGAAAAAUCAAAAUCUGUUGUUUCUAUACUAUAUAGAUUCAUACAUUAAUGUUGUAAGUUAUCUUAAUUAUAGUACCUCACAUGCAUGCAGAUAACUUCUAUCUCAGUUAUAGUACCUACCCCUUCAGUAAUUUUGUCCGUUCAGAUUUUUUAUGGAGAAAUAUUGUUCGUUCGGGGAAAUUUUGUGGAAAUUAUUCCUGCUCCUUAUGUUAAUCAAUUAAAUUGAUGUGGAAAUUUUAUGUCAAAUAUGUUGAUAACACAACUCAAACUACAUACACAUAAACCCAAACUUUAAGAUAAUGCUAUCCAGUACCACAGAGCACUGAUUAAGGAACAAUAAAAUUAAUUGAUUCUACUUAAUUUACUCUAAUUAAAGUGAAAAGUUGGUCAACUUAAUUAAAAUAGGAAUAGCUGUAUUCAAUACUCAUUAAACUCCAUCAAUAUGAUUUUGUAUUUCAUACUUUAAUUGGAUAUGUUUUAUCUUUGUAAUUGCAAAUUUAUUUUGGACUAUAUAAUGUUUGUCUUAUUUUAAUAAUUUCUACAACUUUUAAUUAAAAAAAAACAAUAGUUUUUUUCACCGUAAAAAAGUCAUGGAAAAAAAUUGGUUUGAAUAUAGACUUUUCAGUGAAUUGGCUUGCAAAAAAAAAAAUCACAGAAAAAAAAACUCGGUUGAAGUAAAAUUCACAAGAAGAGAAAAAAUUGUUAAGAUAUGAAAGGAAGCAAGGGGACUAAAAAAAAAGGAUUCUAAAAAGUUCACAAGAAAAAAAAUGAAAGGAAACGUAUCUUUCUAAAGAGUAUUAAAUGCAGCGUUUUUCUAUUUUAAUUAAGUUAAUAAACUUUUCAAUUUAAUUGAAUGAAAUUAAAUGAGACACUUUAAUAUUAUUGUUCCUUAACCAGUGCUCUGAGGGCACCGGUUAGCAACACCCAAAACUUUAUUCACACUACUUAAUUUGUUGAUAAAUUUACUAACCAAUGGCAACUUAUAAAAGGCUUUUCUGGAUGCAUGGAAAGAGACGUGUAGUGCAAUGCAUGAAAGCUCAACACUUAUAUGAAGGUAAACAUUCUACCUAUCUAUUUAUUAUAAUAAAUUACUUUUCCACGACAUGAAUUAUAAAUUAGAGUUGUGUUAUUUGUACAACUAAAAUUGAACAAUUAAUGUAACACCAUAUAACAUUGUGAGAAGCACGUAAAUCGAAAUCAAUCAAAAAAUAUUAAAAAAUAGCAAAUAAGUUGUUGGUUGUACAAACGAGAUGUUCACAUAUCAUUCCUCGUUGAAAUAAUAUCUAUUACUCCCUCCGUCCCAAAUUGUAUGUCACUUUAGAAAAAAUAUUUGUCCCAAAUUAUAUGUCGUUUUACAAUACCAAUGAAAAAUUAAUGUUACUUUUCCUAUUAUAUCCUUAACUAUUUAUUACUCUCUCUUCUUUCAAUUCCUUCAUUUAUCUUUCCUAUAUCAUUUAUUAAGGAUAAUUUUGUAAAACAACUCAUAAUAUCUCUUUCCCACACAAUAUUAAUUACAUUUCUUAAUAUAUGCGAAAUAUCCAAAACUUCAUACAAUUUGGGACAGAGAGAGUAUUUACUUGUUAUGUAAGAAGUCAUGAGAUUGAUCACAUUGACAAACUAUAACAGAGACUGUUAGAUUUUGCAGUCUCUACAACUACAACACCAUACUACAGUUCAACAGGAUUCAAACACAAUUUCACAUAUCUAAUUUGUGUUAAAUCCCAUAAUCUUGUAUCUAACUCAGUUAAUGAAAAUAAUUCGGGACAGAUUCGGGAAGCAUUCUCUCACGAGAUAUACCAUUUCCCUAUAAAAUAUUGCUUCCAAAAUGAUAUGAUGGAAUUUGAUAUUACUAUGAAAAGUAAAAAAUUGCGACAAAAACAAGUGGUGAAAAAAUUAAAUUCCUCUCUAAUUGUUUAGUGACAGAAUAGAGAGUUAUUUCAUGUUUUCCCUCUCUAAGUUUACGUUGGGAUUGAAUUAAAUAUACAAAUAUAUUAAUCAAUCCAUGAGAUUAUGAGCAAAUAUAUGUACUAAAUAAUAAAAAUCAAACUAUAGAACCAAGAAAUAUUGAAAUUUCAAACAAAAUUAAGGCUUACUACUAACAUCAUUAAUUCCAGUGUUAUUUUCCUAACAAUCGAUAUACAUGUUUUUUCCUUAUUCAAUUUUUUUUUUGUCCAAAUUAUUAUAAUUUAUAUGCAUUUUUGGAAUUGGUAGCUUGAAGGAACUAUCUUAGCCCCAAAAAAUAUUGAAGCAUGGAAAUGGCCAAAUAACAAUGAUAGAGGCUUAUGGAUCCGUUUUAUAGAGAUAAUUGCUAUUCCGUUGUGAGGCUAUAUCAUAAACUUAUUAAUGGACCUUUAGUUAUCCCAAUCAAACAUUAAAAGGUCCACUUUGUAAAUAAAAUCCAUUUGUAAUAGAAAAUUUGCUCUUUUGACACCUAUGCUUUGAUCGCAAAUACCUUGAAGUAACCAAAAAAUUUCAACGAUAAUUAAUUAUCGUUCGUUGCUGAGUAAUAGUUAAUUGAUGCUUGCUGCUGAACAGUUAUUUAUUGUUAUUCUGUUGUGAAGCUAUAUCAGAAACUUAUUAAUGGACCUUUUACUAUCCCAAUCAAACAUUAAAAGGCCCACUUUCUAAAUAAAAUCCAGUUGUAAUAGAAAAUUUGCUCUUUAGACACCUAUGCUUUGAUCGCAAAUACCUUGAAGUAACCAAAAUUUUCCAAUGACAAUUAAUUACCGUUCGUUGCUGAGUAAUAAUUAAUUGUCGCUCGCUGCUAAACGGUUAUUAAUUGCUAUUCUGUUAUGAGACUAUAUAAGAAACAAAAAUAACACCCAUCACAUAUUCAAAUUCAUUUAAUAAUAGAUUGUUAUAUUUAUGUUUGCGAUCAUUUUGCAAACCAUUUCAAAUCAUAUAUGUUUACCAAACCUACUAUUGAUGCGCUUUAGUUCAAGUCUUUAACCGUAGCUGAUGGCGGUCUAUCAUUAGAGCAUUUUUUGAAGAAGAGGUUAAACAGACAGUAUGAGACUGUGAUAAUUUCAAAAGUCCCGGACUUGACGAAAUCAAUUUUGGCUUCAUCAAGAAGUUCUUGGGUAGAUAAAACAACUAUUUUCAUGCUUUUUAUUGGUGAGUUUUAUAGGAAUGGGAAAUUGGUGAAGGGCAUUAAUUCCCCUUUCAUUAUAUUAAUCCCUAAGGUCGAGAAUCCUCAAGUUCUAUCUAUUUUUCAUCCAAUUUUUCUAAUCAGAUGUAUGUAUAAUGUGUUGACGAAAGUGUAGGCCAAUAGGUUGGCAAUGUGAUUGACACUCCCAUUUUUGAGUCUCAAUCAACCUUUGUUAAAGGCCAACAGAUUUCGGACGACAUUCUUAUUGCAAAUGAAGCAGUUGAUGACGCUCGCAAGUUAAAGAAGUAAUUAAUGUUGUUUAAAUUUGAUUUCGAGAAAGCCUAUGAUCCGGUUCAUUGUAAUUAUUUGAAAUCAGUUAUGAAGAAAAUGAAUUUUCCAACUACGUGGAGGAAGAGGGCUAUGGAAUGUGUGAUGUCGGCUUCAGCAUAUGUUUUGAGAAAUGACAGACCGACUGAUGAAUUUCAAUUAGAAAGAUAUCUUCGACAAGGUGUUCCUCUUUCUCUCUUUCUUUUUCUACUAGCAGCUAAGGGAUUGAAUGUCGUGAUGAAUGCUAUUGUUGAGGCCGAGUUGUUUUUCGGAUAUGAUAUUGGUCACGGUGUAUCAAUAAGCAUUACCUUUUUACAAUUUAUCGAUGAUACAAUUAUUAUGUACGAAAAAAGCUUGGUGAAUAUCAGAGCUUUGAAGGCAAAUCUUAUCCAGCCCGACCUAGCCUUUAUAGUAAAAGAUUCAGGCUUAGACUUUUUAAAUAGCCUAUUUACCUUAAUAGACCAAACUUGGGCAUAUAAAAAAGCCUAAGAUGCACCCUCUCUCUCUCCUCUCUCUUCUCUCCAUCUCUCUCAUAUUUAAAGCAAUUUUUUUUAAGGGCAAUACUUACAUAUUGUGCCUUAGACACAAUUCAUCAUGUUCCUCACAUAAUUUUAUCUAAACUACGUCGUUUAUACUAUCAGUAAAGCAGCGGUUGGUAAAUUAGAUUUGCCAGUUUUCUUCUAUUCCCGUUCAAAACAGGAUGAACAGUACUUUGAGAACUUUACCCAAGUAUUUUCCUUUUUUUAUUAUUAGUAAAUUUUAGAAGAUAAUUGCACCGAGUAGAAUACAAUCCAUUUUAUCCUCUUGGUUCCUUUAAUUCUAUCUACCCUUUUAACUGUGACCAUAUUCAUUCGAACCAUUAUUUUCUGCAAAAAUUUCACGUUUACAACAUACUUGUCAUUUUUUUUUUGGGUUAAUAGUGUUUUUCACCCCUGUAAUAUAUGUCAUUUCCGCUUUUCGCCCCUAUAAAAUUUUCAGUUUGAUUUGCACCCUUGUAAAAUUUUUAUUUUCCGGAAAACACCCUUAAUAGGCCAUUCUAAAACCAAAAUUUAUUGAAAAAAAAUUCUGAAAAUGGCCUAUUAGGGGUGUUUUCCAGAAAAUAAAAAUUUUACGAGGGUGCAAAUCAAACCGAAAAUUUUAUAGGGGCGAAAACUGAAAAUAACAUAUUACAGGGGUGAAAAACAUUAUUAACCCUUUUUUUUUACGAAGAUUGUCUCUAGAACUUUAUAAAAAUGGUCUACCUAGAAGAUGUGAGUGUAUGCCUUAAUAUAAAGUAGGCCUUUAAAUAGAAUUAUGAGCUUGAUAGACCUUCAAAAAGGCUAGGCUCAUACUUUAAAAAUUGGCCUAUUACACGCCAAAGGUCAGGCUCGAGCUUAAACUUUUUAUGAUAGGACAGACUCGUGCCUUAUAAACCCAACCCGACCUACUCUAUUCCCACCCCUAAUUGCAAUAUGUGAGAUCAUAAAAUUGGAUAUUUUCUGUUGUUACAAAAGAAAGAUAUUGUAAUUGACCGUCAAAUCUCAAAUCAAGAGUCAUGAUCAUUUUAAAUUAUUUGAUCCCAAAUCAUCGAUUAAGAUAAAUAAAACUAAUAUACUUAUUACCUCAACAUAUCUUGGUUGAUCCUUCCUUCAAAAAAAAAAAAUCUUGGUCCAUAAGAUCACACAAAUUUAGGAUCCAUGGUCCCUAAAAACGUGUGAAAAGAUCUUGCUUGUGUCAUAUCUUCGUCAAAAUAAACCAUAUAACUAUUCAAAAGCUGUAUCCCAAAUUAGAAGCCACUAGACAGUGACACAAAAGUCAUUCCUCUAAGAUAAAAGUGCUUCCUUUUCCUACCCCAUCUCCAUUCUUUGUUAGCAUUCCAAUGUAAUUUUCUUUAGAAUUUGGAAUCCUUUAUUUCAAGGGACGGUCAUAAAGGAAAGGCUAUGUUUGACAAAGAAUCUUCCCUACUAAGAAAAAUACAUGUCAAAAGCAAAAAAAGGAGAAUAAGACUAUAGUUUAGUAUUUCCUAACAUGAUAAAGUAAAAGAAAUUAAUUAUGGACUGUCUAAAGGUGCUGCUUGCAGCUCAAGAUAAGCAAACACCCUUUAAUGUCUUUUUCUUGCUCCUUUCACUUGUCUUCCCCUUCACAAUUUUAUAUUCUUUGCUAAAAAAAAAAAUUGGUGAAAAUAUUCUUAGCAAUAUUAACAUUUUACAACUAAGAAAUCCACUAUCUUAUUUUAUUUUUAUUCUAAAAUUAUAUAACUGAUAUUAUGAAUAAAUACUUUUUAUUUUGCUAUUGGCAUAAUGAUCAAUAUAGAGUCAAAUUUAGCUCAUUUGAGGGGUUUUAAUAGAACCUUAUUUUAUUUUGCAUUUUAAACUCUUAAUAUUGUUUUUGCACCACUAACCAAGAACUCAAAGCUUGAACCCCUAGAUCGUUAUUGGUACAUAUUUAAAUAAACACAUAUGAUGAGAGAAAAAUAUGGUGACCCGGGAACUCGGAAUUUCAUAUAAAAUGUUAUCAUAGCUAAACUAUUCAUGUUUCUAGAAUUAUAAUGAAUGUGUAAUUCUUUUUUUUUUUUCAUACAUUUUUUUGAGAAUUUUUUUUUCAUAAAUUUAAUCAACUAAUGAUUUGCUUAUCAUAAUUUUCUCAAUGCAACACAAGAUAUGAGACAAUUAAUUUUUUGUCUAUGUUUUUAUUUUUGACAUUAUAAAUUUCAAAGGCUCCUAAUUCUAAUUUAAAAAAGGUAAUUUUUAAAAAAUAUUAUUUGGAAUAUAUGACAACACCUAUAAAAUCCAAAAAAAAACUUCAUUAAGAAAAAUAUUAAGUGCAUGGACACUUUCCAAAUCAAUAGCCAAUAAGCACAUUCCUUUUCAUAUUCUAAAAUUAUAUAUAAGUGACUCCCCUUAACAUAAUGCAUCCUUCUUUCUCCACCAUUUUCAAACCCCUCAUACCCAUCACAACCCAAACCAACAGAAUCCCAAACUCCACCGUUCAUCUUUCUUAUACCAUGCAUGAAAUAAUACACAUAUAAACACAAAUCUUAAACAUACCAUUUCCACAAAACUACCAAAAUGGCCACUGUUAGAAAACUUAUAGUAGAAGUAAUAGAUGCACAAAACCUAGCUCCCAAGGACGGUCAUGGAACUUCAAGUCUGUACAUAGUAGUUGAUUUCUACGGUCAAAGAAGAAAAACUCGAACCUUGGUUCGCGACUUGAACCCGGUUUGGAAUGAAACAUUGUCGUUUAAUGUUGGAGAACGUAACGAAAUUUUUGGUGAUGUUUUGGAACUUGAUGUUUAUCAUGAUAUGCAACACCGUCCAACCCGGAGAGAAAACUCGCUGGGUCAAGUUCGACUUAGCUCGACCCAGUUUGUGAAAAAAGGUGAAGAAGCUUUGAUUUAUUAUGAGUUGAAGAAGAAAAGUUUGUUCAAUAUGGUUCGAGGAAAAGUUGGCUUGAAAAUUUACUAUGUUGAUGAAGAAAUUCCUCCUCGACCAUCGGCACCUGUGCCGGAAAAUCCACCGACACCAUCGUCUGAGCCACCUUCCGUAAAAGUAGAAGAAUCGCCACCACCGCCAUCUGAGCCGGAAAAAGUUGAACCACCACCGCCAUCUGAAGCUGGACCCCAACCUAAGGCUGAAGAGGUGAACAAGAACCUAAGGUUAAAACGGAACCUGUUCUUGAACAAGUUCCGGUUCAGGAAGAAGUUGUAGAAAAUUACCAUGAAAAGUAAAAAAUUGCGACAAAAACAAGUGGUGAAAAAAAAUUAAAUUCCUCUCUAAUUUUGCAACACUAACGUACGAAUGUGAUUUUUCUUUGCAAUUUGUAUCUAAUGUUGCAUAACUGAAAUUAAACAACUCAUUAAAAAGCGCACGUGAUAACUUGUAUAGCUAAAACACAUGUGAAUAUAACUAAGAUAUCACAUGCAAUUUUUUGAGUCAUUUUAUCUUAGCCCUUUGUUUUAAUCCAACGACCACCAUUCAAACCUCUUAUCUCUUACAAUAAGUCAUCUCUCACCAUUUUAUAUAUGUAUGUAUGUAUGUAUUUAUAUCAUGAAGACAACUCCAAUCAUAGUAUUUUACAAUCUCAUUUAUCAUAUAUAACAUUUUUCAGUUUCUUAUUCUUCUCUUUUUCUUUACUUUUUAUAUGUUUAUUCUUUAUACUACUCCCACAUUCAUGAAAUGUAAUAAAUGAAUGUUUAAACAGUUUCGUUUCAACAAUACACUAACUAAUACAUGAAUAACAAUUUUUGAGAGAAUAACAAUGACAACCCACUUAGGUACGUCUGGUAGUGUUGAUUUGAGAAAUUGGAGUGUACUCGUCCUCAAUGUUUCAUGUUUGAUUCUUACAUAUGCUAAUUUGAAUGAGCUAAUUUAACUUCUAAAAAAAUAUGCGG